ACGCUGGCGGCAGGCUUAACACAUGCAAGUCGAACGGUAACAGGAGAAAGCUUGCUUUCUUGCUGACGAGUGGCGGACGGGUGAGUAAUGCUUGGGAAUCUGGCUUAUGGAGGGGGAUAACGACGGGAAACUGUCGCUAAUACCGCGUAGAGUCGAGAGACGAAAGUGCGGGACCGCAAGGCCGCAUGCCAUAGGAUGAGCCCAAGUGGGAUUAGGUAGUUGGUGGGGUAAUAGCCUACCAAGCCGACGAUCUCUAGCUGGUCUGAGAGGAUGACCAGCCACACCGGGACUGAGACACGGCCCGGACUCCUACGGGAGGCAGCAGUGGGGAAUAUUGCGCAAUGGGGGCAACCCUGACGCAGCCAUGCCGCGUGAAUGAAGAAGGCCUUCGGGUUGUAAAGUUCUUUCGGUAUUGAGGAAGGUUGUUGUGUUAAUAGCACGACAAAUUGACGUUAAAUACAGAAGAAGCACCGGCUAACUCCGUGCCAGCAGCCGCGGUAAUACGGAGGGUGCGAGCGUUAGUCGGAAUAACUGGGCGUAAAGGGCACGCAGGCGGACUUUUAAGUGAGGUGUGAAAUCCCCGGGCUUAACCUGGGAAUUGCAUUUCAGACUGGGAGUCUAGAGUACUUUAGGGAGGGGUAGAAUUCCACGUGUAGCGGUGAAAUGCGUAGAGAUGUGGAGGAAUACCGAAGGCGAAGGCAGCCCCUUGGGAAUGUACUGACGCUCAUGUGCGAAAGCGUGGGGAGCAAACAGGAUUAGAUACCCUGGUAGUCCACGCUGUAAACGCUGUCGAUUUGGGGAUUGGGCUUUAAGCUUGGUGCCCGAAGCUAACGUGAUAAAUCGACCGCCUGGGGAGUACGGCCGCAAGGUUAAAACUCAAAUGAAUUGACGGGGGCCCGCACAAGCGGUGGAGCAU
rnacentral:rRNA from 1 species